AUUGCACGCUGGCGGCAUGCCUUACACAUGCAAGUCGAACGGUAACAGGUCUUCGGAUGCUGACGAGUGGCGAACGGGUGAGUAAUGCAUCGGAACGUGCCCAGUAGUGGGGGAUAGCCCGGCGAAAGCCGGAUUAAUACCGCAUACGACCUGAGGGUGAAAGGGGGGGAUCGCAAGACCUCUCGCUAUUGGAGCGGCCGAUGUCAGAUUAGCUAGUUGGUGGGGUAAAGGCCUACCAAGGCAACGAUCUGUAGUUGGUCUGAGAGGACGACCAGCCACACUGGGAGUGAGACACGGCCCAGACUCCUACGGGAGGCAGCAGUGGGGAAUCUUGGACAAUGGGCGCAAGCCUGAUCCAGCAAUACCGCGUGCAGGAAGACGGCCUUCGGGUUGUAAACUGCUUUUGUCAGGGAAGAAAUCUUCUGGGUUAAUACCUCGGGAGGAUGACGGUACCUGAAGAAUAAGCACCGGCUAACUACGUGCCAGCAGCCGCAGUAAAAC
rnacentral:rRNA from 1 species